rnacentral:rRNA from 1 species
CCUACGGGCGGCAGCAGUGAGGAAUAUUGGUCAAUGGGCGCGAGCCUGAACCAGCCAAGUAGCGUGAAGGAUGACUGCCCUACGGGUUGUAAACUUCUUUUAUAAAGGAAUAAAGUGAGGCACGUGUGCCUUUUUGUAUGUACUUUAUGAAUAAGGAUCGGCUAACCCCGUGCCAUCAGCCGCGGUAAUACGGAGGAUCCGAGCGUUAUCCGGAUUUAUUGGGUUUAAAGGGAGCGUAGAUGGGUUGUUAAGUCAGUUGUGAAAGUUUGCGGCUCAACCGUAAAAUUGCAAUUGAUACUGGCAGUCUUGAGUACAGUUGAGGUAAGCGGAAUUCGUGGUGUAGCGGUGAAAUGCUUAGAUAUCACGAAGAACUCCGAUUGCGAAGGCAGCUUACUAAUCUGCCACUGACAUUGAUGCUCGAAAGUGUGGGUAUCAAACAGGAUUAGAUACCCGGGUAGUC